rnacentral:rRNA from 1 species
CCUACGGGAGGCAGCAGUGGGGAAUAUUGCACAAUGGGCGAAAGCCUGAUCCAGCGACGCCGCGUGAGGGAAGAAGUUACUCGUUAUGUUAAGCUCUUUCAGCCGGGAAGCAAAGGACGGUACCUGAGUACGAAGCCCCGGCUAACUACGUGCCACCAGCCCCGGGAAUACGCAGGGGGCAAGCGUUAUCCGGAUUUACUGGGUGUAAAGGGAGCGUAGACGGCAGUGCAAGUCUGGAGUGAAAGGCGGGGGCUCAACCCCCGGACUGCUCUGGAAACCGUCCGGCUGGAGUACAGGAGAGGUAAGUGGAAUGCCUAGUGUAGCGGUGAAAUGCGUAGAUAUUAGGAGGAACACCAGUGGCGAAGGCAGCUUGCUGGACUGUAACUGACGUUGAGGCACGAAAGCGUGGGGAGCGAACAGGAUUAGAUACCCGAGUAGUC